GGAUUUGCAGAAGAGAAACUCACUUGGUAAGAUGACUUCUGGCCAUUGUUCGUGAAUUGCAGCUUGUCUGGAACCACUUGAACAUCUAGGCCUGCAGGUGCAUCAAUGCUUACGGUGUAGACUGUUUUAUCAUCUUCGGCAACAUUUGUAAGGGUUCUGUUCACUUUCCUGCCUGCUUUUUCAUUGAAAUUGGAAAUCGCUAUUGAUGGAUAAUUGAUGUUGGAUAUAAGAUCGAUGCUUGACUCCUCGGGGCAAGUAAACCCAUCUGGGAUGGUGUUGGUGAUAAUUUUGAUUGUAGAUAUAUUAUAACCAUAGUAGCAGAGAAAAUUCAAAUAGUCAAUGGUGGUAGUCUCGUAAACUAGGCCAGGUUGCAAUGGUCCUGUUGUGCUUACUUCUCCUGCACCGAAAUCAUAAGGUGUAGCUGCUGCACCUUUGUCUGUCGUAAUUGGGGCUUUCAAAUUAUUUGUUUGAGUUGCUGUAAAUUGGUUGUAAGCAGUCAUAGAUUAGUCAAAAGUCCAGACUUUGUCAUGUACAUGCGCAUGUAGAUUUGCUUGUCAGUCCCUCACCUGUUGUCAUAAUGGCAGACCUGAUUGCGGAGGGACUCCAUUUAGAGUUUCUUGAUUUGACCGUGGCGGCAAUCCCAGAAACAUGUGGACAUGCCAUCGAAGUUCCUGAGAUCACAUUAUACAGUGGUGGGUCUUUGCCUUCUGGAGCCUCAGCCGUGUCAUUU
rnacentral:lncRNA from 1 species